rnacentral:pre_miRNA from 1 species
UCCCUCUCAAAGUGGCUGUGAAAUGUGUCUCUUUCCGAAAGGGUUCCUUUCUUGCAUAUCACAGCCAGCUUUGAAGAGCGCUA